GCCCUAGUAGCUUAACCUCUAAAGCACCGGUUUUGUAACCCGAAGAUCGAAGGUUAAACUCCUUCCUAGAGCC